rnacentral:rRNA from 1 species
CCCUUAGAUGUUCUGGGCUACACACGUGCUACACUGGCAGGUUCAGCGAGCUUCAUGCCCUGAUCUGAAAGGAAUGGGAAAUCUUUUCAAAACCUGCCGUGCUUGGGAUAGAUGUUUGCAAUUAUUCAUCUUCAACGAGGAUUGCCUUGUAAGCGCACGUCAUCAGCGUGCAUUGAAUACGACCCUGUAUUCUGUACACACCGCCCGUCGCUCCUACCGAUUGAAGUUUUCGGUGAGUUGACAGGAGGAUUUUUUUGAAACUGGUUCGCCAGUGGAUUUUAGAGCCAAAUGCCAACGAAUCGAUGGCUUUAGAGGAAGGAGAAGUCGUAACA